GGUGAAAAAAACACUGGGUAGUCAAAACUUUGUAUUUAAGACUAAUUGCAUUGAAAGUGUAUGGCUUAUUGAAAUGCUUAAAGUACACUUCCUUGGUGUCUUUGAGAAAUCAUGCUCCCAAAUUGUGGAUCAAACCGAUGAACUCCCAUUGCUAGGCAGAUGAAAAAACCAUGCCACAUUGACCUCUAUUGAAUUGAUUUGUUUGAACUCGGAAACAAAAAAUCAAAUAGUUUCAUGGCUUUCUCUGCCAAUCACCAAAUCAACAAAAUCCUUUUUUAUUACAUUAAGGUAAAAAAAUGUAAAAGUAUUUAUUUUAAACAAGCCGUCAUUCCAGAACAAGAAUCGUAACCUCAUUUAAAAUGUAUUGCAUUUCAAGGUAUUAAGGUUUAUUCGCGGUCAGUACAGGAAUAAUUAACCAGGUUUUCCGAAGGAAAAAACUGGUUAUUGGAUUGGCGAAUGCGGGCGGGCUGGCUGGCUGGCGGGCUGGCUGGCGGGCUGGCGGAAUAAGCUUGUCCGGGCCAUAACUAUGUCGUUCAUUGUCAGAUUUUAAAAUCAUUUGGCACAUUUGUUCACCAUCAUUGGACGGUGUGUCGCGCGAAAUAAUUACGUCGAUAUCUCCAAGGUCAAGGUCACACUUUGAGUUCAAAGGUCAAAAAUGGCCAUAAAUGAGCUUGUCCUGGCCAUAACUAUGUCAUUCAUUGUGAGAUUUUAAAAUCAUUUGGCACAUUUGUUCACCAUCAUGGGACGGUGUGUCCCACGAAAGAAUCACGUCAAUAUCUCCAAUGUCAAGGUCGCCACGACUAAAAAUAGAUUAAAAAAAAAAAAAACUUACAAAGGGGGUUAAUUUUUUUUGGUCAUUUCAAAAGUUCAGUUUGAGUUUUCUCCCUUUAUCAGAUUUUUUUUUCACAAUGAAAACCUGGUUUUGUGACAAUUUUGUCCCUUGUUUUAUAAA